rnacentral:rRNA from 1 species
UUAAGUCAGGCAACGAGCGAGACCCACGCCAACAGUUGCCAGCUCGUCCUCCGGGAUGGUGGGGACACUGUUGGGACCGCCUCUGCUAAAGAGGAGGAAGGAAUGGGCAACGGUAGGUCAGCAUGCCCCGAAUUAUCCGGGCUACACGCGGGCUACAAUGGGUGGGACAAUGGGUAUCGACACCGAAAGGUGAAGGCAAUCUCCUAAACCCAUCCUUAGUUCGGAUUGUGGGCUGCAACUCGCCCACAUGAAGCUGGAAUCUGUAGUAAUCGUGUCUCAACAUGGCACGGUGAAUAUGUCCCUGCUCCUUGCACA